UUGGUUUAAAUCAUUGUGGAUCAAUAUUUUGAAAAUUGAAACCCCACAAAAUGGUGGGACAUACAUUGAUUUCAUCAAA
rnacentral:pre_miRNA from 1 species